rnacentral:rRNA from 1 species
AUGGCCCCGACGGCGCCGCAUCUCUUCGACGAGAUCCUGGAGGAGAUCUUCCUUCGCCUGCCCACCCCGGCCGGGCUCGCCCGCGCCUCAACCGCGAGCCCCCGUUUCCGCCGCAUCAUCGCCGAGCGCUCCUUCCUCCGCCGCUUCCGCGCUCUCCACCCGCCGCCACUCCUGGGAUUAGCCAUCGACAAAGGUGGAUUCCAUCCAGCCGAGGAACAUCAUCCCUCCGCCCCGCUCGCCCGUGCCCUCGCCGACGCCGCAGAUUUCUCCUACUCCUUCGUCCCCAAGCCCGACAAGGCUUGGCUCACCCCCUGGUACCUCCGCGACGUGCGCGACCGCCGCAUCCUCCUCGAGUGCAGCUGCCGGUUUGACAUCGACCCGGUCUUCACAAACCUCGCGGUGUGCGAUCCCUUGUCACGGAGAUACGUGCUGCUCCCGCCCAUACCCGAGGAAAUGACCGUCCAGCAGGAGCGCCUUGUCGAAUUUGCGCCUAUGCUGGUUCCCAUUGGCGAGGAGGAGGAGGAGACCUCGUUCAGGGUCAUCUGCACGCCACGCUACAAAAGCAAGUUGGUCAUGUUUGUCUUCUCUUCCAUCACCGGACAAUGGUGUAUUGCUGCAUCUCCCAGCUGGAGCUCUUUGGGCAUAGUUGAGCCCCCUUGUAAUGGCUUGUCCCAUUUCAACUACGUGCGUGGCUGCUUCUAUUGGCCGGCUCUUUGGAAGGACAAGUUGCUCAUGCUGGACACGCGCUUAAUGGAGUUCUCCAUUGUCAACAUUCUCACCGGCUACCAUGUGCAGCUUAUAAACCAGCCUGGACAGAGUGUAUGCAUGUCUACUAUUGUUGAUGGUACAGAAGGGGCCCUUGAGAUGUUUACUCUUGUCGGUAGUUACAGCUAUGCCACGUUUCAUCUCUAUCAUACCACUCAACAAAACAACGGCGAAUCUCCCAAAGAGUGGCAGCUGAAAAAUGUUAUAGCAUUGCCUCCUCAAUGUCACUAUUUCGCUGUGGGUGCAACUGAGAGAUUCUUAUUCCUUCGAUGUAUUCGAAUAGCUCAGUGGGAUGAUAAUGCACAUGGGUUGUUGCCCGAGGAUAACGAGUUUGAUUUGUUUUCUCUGGAUGUCAAGACCUCAGAACUUAAGAAGGUCUGUAGGGCAAAACACUAUUAUCCUCCCAAUCUAGUUCACUCCUACUUUGGCUUCCCACCAUCAUUGUCGAAACCGAGUCUAUGA